CUGGUACUCCGUAUUUGGUAAAGUAUACUACAGUUGACUUGCAAAAAAAACAAAAACAAAGUCUUUGCAGAUUUAAAGUGAAUAACAUGUAUACUGAUACAUAUUGCGAUUUUGGACAUUUAUUUUAGCGAGAAGAUGAUGAAGUUUGAAGGUAAAAGUUUAUUGUGGAUGAUAAUGAUAAUGAUAACGAUGAUGGACCGAGGCUAAAGCAGGUUCAGUAAAGUUGUCAGCAAGCCUUAAAAAGCUUAAAUCGCUGGAUUUGAGUUCUAAUGUUUUGAACAACAGCAUCUUGCCGGAGUUAUCUGGUUUUCAAUCACUCAGACAUCUAAAUCUAAGAGCAAACAGUCUGACGGGAUCAAUUCAACUUCAUGAUAUUAAAGCCAUCAGCAAGAAUCUGGAGAAGCUGGAUUUAUGUGCCAACCAAAUUACUAGCAUCCACAAUUUUUACGGCAAGUUAUUUCUCAUCUCUUUACCAUGCAAUGCUAACAGUUAAUACAACCUCACAUAGUU